AGAUUAAAUAAAAAAUAGGCUUCUAACCUAUUAAUAAUGAUUUAUUCAUUUUAAUCUU
rnacentral:tRNA from 1 species